rnacentral:rRNA from 1 species
AACGAACGCUGGCGGCGUGCUUAACACAUGCAAGUCAAACGGACAGACAGAGAGCUUGCUCUCUUGAAGUUAGUGGCGAACGGGUGAGUAACGCGUAAUCAACCUGCCCUUCAGAGGGGGAUAACAACGGGAAACCGUUGCUAAUACCGCGUACGAUUCAUGAACGGCAUCGUUUAUGAAUGAAAGGUGGCCUCUAUGUAUAAGCUAUCGCUGAAGGAGGGGAUUGCGUCUGAUUAGCUAGUUGGAGGGGUAACGGCCCACCAAGGCAAUGAUCAGUAGCCGGUCUGAGAGGAUGAACGGCCACAUUGGGACUGAGACACGGCCCAAACUCCUACGGGAGGCAGCAGUGGGGAAUCUUCCGCAAUGGACGAAAGUCUGACGGAGCAACGCCGCGUGAGUGAUGAAGGUCUUCGGAUUGUAAAGCUCUGUUAAUCGGGACGAAAGAGUUCUGCGUGAAUAAUGCAGAAAGGUGACGGUACCGGAAUAGAAAGCCACGGCUAACUACGUGCCAGCCGCCGCAGUAA